rnacentral:other from 1 species
GCGGUUCUGCCCUUCCCGUGACGAGGUCAAAUUCCGGUGGCCUUAAGCAAAUCCGAGGGAGCUGGCUCUGUCCGGGCCCUGGCCCGGUUACCUGGUGCCCACCUGUAUGAACAGGUCCUCGGGAAUGAGUUGCCUCUACGGUCGUGGUGGUCCCGCC